AGCGAACGCUGGCGGCAGGCCUAACACAUGCAAGUCGAACGGAUCCUUCGGGAUUAGUGUCGGACGGGUUAGUAACACGUGGGAACGUGCCCUUUGGUUCGGAACAACUCAGGGAAACUUGUGCUAAUACCGGAUGUGCCCUUCUGGGGAAAGAUUUAUGGCCAUUGGAGCGGCCGGCGUCUGAUUAGCUAGUUGGUGAGGUAACGGCCCACCAAGGCGACGAUCAGUAGCUGGUCUGAGAGGAUGAUCAGCCACACUGGGACUGAGGCACGGCCCAGACUCCUACGGGAGGCAGCAGUGGGGAAUCUUGCGAAAUGGGCGAAAGCCUGACGCAGCCAUGCCGCGUGAAUGAUGAAGGUCUUAGGAUAGUAAAAUUCUUUCAGCGGGGACGAUAAUGACGGUACCCGAAGAAGAAGCACCGGCUAACUACGUG
rnacentral:rRNA from 1 species